rnacentral:lncRNA from 10 species
UCGGAUGGAUCAGGACCAAGGGUAGCUCCACACCAACAUCGCUGCAAGGAUCCCAAGGUGGAGUUACAUCUCCUCUCUCUACAAGCCCAAUCCCUGAACCUCCCUCCCUUAGUUUUCCAGUCUUUGGAUGCCCUCAGACCCUCCAGAAUCAAUCAUUAUUUUGCUCUCCUUAUCCCCUUGUCCUCCUCUUCUUGCCCAAGUUCCCCCACCCCACAGUCUCUCACCUGGCUGUCAGGUCUCCUAGGAUGCUGUGGGUAGAAUGACACCCAAAAUUAGCAGCGGGAAAUAGAGAAGGGGCAACCUAGUUUCACAAGGGGAUGAGGGAUCAUAAGACCUAAUGAGCCAGCCACAGAAUGGGUUUCUGGAAGGGAAAGUGACUUGCUCACUGAGCUCACAGGUUUGGGAACCUGGUCUGGGAGAAAGGGUGGGGAAUGGUUUGAUUGGGUCAAUCUAACUGGGAGAAAAACAGAGGCGAAAAGCCCUUGACUCUUCAGCCCCUGCCCAGACAGACCCAGAACCCUCACUUACCCACCACAGGACACCAUCAGGUUGACUCUGACUUUGUAGGACACCAGGAUCCCCAGCAGCUCUUUGUCCAUUCCCGGUCUAAUACUGGAGGUUGUAGUAUUCGUUUUAGGGUGUUUGGGGCAUGAAGAGUAAUUCAUUCUGUCCCCAGUUUCUUCUCAUGCAUUCCUAUCACCACACCCUAUUAUGUUUAGUCUUAUCCCAGAAUAUCUCCCAGGCUCUAACCUUUCCUACCCGUUGAGACCACAUUUCUCUUCCUGACAUUCACUUUUACCAUGUCACUCUCUGCUCAAGAGCCUACCUUUUGAAUAUAACAACUACUCUGCCUGACUUUCAAGACCCCUAACAACCUUGCCCUAUCUAGCCUCUCUAACCUUUUCUCCCCUAACUCCUGGGAUACAACCUAAGCAGACCCAUCUUCUCUCCGUGAUCAGAACAUGCCAUGUGGAUUCCCACCUUCUAGCCUUUGCCCAUGCUGUGUCCCUAGUCUACAGUGCUCCUUUUUUUCCUCUGUUGGUAUCCAGAUCCUUCACAUUCUUCAAGAUCUAGCUCAUUCUACCUCCUCCAGGAAGCCCUCACCAGCUCUCCUGGCUUCUUUUAACUUUGUUGCGAUUUACUCUGAACCACGUGUACUAACAUUUAACUGUUGGGUUGUAUUUGCAUCUCUCUUCGUUCCUCAUCUAGGCCAUAAAUUGACUGAAGGCAGAGACUGUCUUAAACUUCUUUAUAUUCUCCACAUUGCUUAGCAUAGGAAAGAGCAUGUAAUAGGGGUUCAGUAAAAAACCCACUGAUUGAAAAAUAAGACAGCGAAAGCUGCAUGAGCUUGAGAAAAUCUCUUCAUUGCUCUGGGCUGCUGAUCUCUUACAUAUAAAAUAAUGCAGUUUGGAUGAUUUCUAAGGGUAUUUCUAGCAAUAACAGUCUAUAGCUACUUGAUUGAAAAGACGUAUGGAGAGAUGGAGGGAUUACACUUGACAGAUGGUGGCAGGUGGUUUUUGGUGGAAGACACAUCUAACACUAGGGCCUCCGAAGGCACAGGACCAAGUGAAUGACUUCCUAGAAUUCUAUUAAUUCCUGUUGCAUCAUUUUCCUUUUUUGUCCUCCUUUUCCUCCAUUUCUCAUCUCCUAGUCUUCUACUCCAUCUUUAUUUUUUCUAGAGAGUAGCUUCUGUAGAGAUCACAGUAUUCAGAGCCAGAUGACAUGUGAUAUAAUCCUGUCUACAUCUACCACUUAUCAGCUAUGCCACUUUAAGUGAGUUCCUUCUUCUCUCUGAGCCUCAGGGUCCUUAAGUGUAAAAGGGAAUAAGAACACCUGUCCAGGCUACUUUAGUGGGAUUCUCACAAAGAUAGCAUAGUACAUAUGUCGGACCUUUGUGAACUGUGAAAUCUUAUACAACAUAAGGAUUGUUUUCCUCUCCAUGUUUUCCUUUUUUUCUGCCGCUGACCUAAGCCUGCCGUUGGUCCCACAGGCAUUAUUGAGCUUGCUGCAGGCCUUUAGGCCUGGAGGAGUCUCUGAACACUGCCCUAGAGACACUUUAAAAAACAGGUAGGCUUUACUGAACAUGAAACCUCAGAGCUGUAAAUGUAGCAUGUGGAAUGGUUGAGGGGUAGGAAAUGGAGGCUGAGAGUUAUAUUUGAGCUUACAUUGUGCUAGAGGCCAGGUUGGUAUCUUCAUGCUUAAGUUUGCCAUCCAGUGCCAGGCCCCGUUUCUGGCAGCUGGCAGCCAGGAUUGGGGUUACUGCAAAGCUCUGGGAGAAGCUGGAAUUAGCAGCUACAGUCUCCCUACAAAAGAAGAACAAGAGAAGAAUUUAGGCUGGGCUUGCUGACUAAGCAUACUUUUACUCCCAAGAGUAUCUUGUACAAGAUUAUACAAGAACCUACUGGAGUAUCCAAGAGAGGUAACAUGUUUAACUGAAGACUGGGAGAAAUUAGUUCUGGUGGGAAAUCCUUAUGCCCCUGCCCUCGCUCAGCAUCGUGAUGGGACUCCUGGGGGUAAGUUGCAUCCCCUCCAUCUAGUUCUCCUGGGAAUCCCUCCCUGGAAUCUUCCACCACUCUUCUCCCCCACUCUACCCCCUCAACUGCCUCCUGGACCUCUUCCCACCACCCCACCCCUUGGCUCUCUGGUCCUAGCCCCAGCACCAGCUCACGUGAAUUCCUGAAUGAACACAGUCUUGGUGUACUUGUCUAGUGAAUACAGGACAACAUCUGUGAUCUGGUCAACUGAACAAGCCAGGAAAAGCACAUGAUUAUAAUCAGUCAGUCAUCCUUGAGACCCCAGCUCAGUGUCCUUAGAUGUGACCUUAUACAUAGGCACACUAUACAUGAUGCAGUGAGACAUGCUCAUUGACAAAACAAGAUAUGCAUUUUGACAAGCCCAUGUUAGAGGGAAAGCCUAGAUGAAUGCAGACAGGUAAGUGAGAUAGAAUUUUGGGAAAAGACCUGUGGCUUUGGGACCAGGUGCACAGGGAUGGGAAAAGAAACUCACCUGAAAUCUUGAUUUUUUUGAUGACCUUGUUGGUGCAGUUGUUGAUAGAAACAUUGACAGAGAUGGGUUCUCCGUGGUAGUGAACCUAAAGCAGGAGCGGGGACCCAUGUCAAGGCUGGAGGACGAAUACGCAGAUGGAGACCUAGAACCCCUGCUUCCUUAGCGCUAUUGCCACCCUGGCUCCCAUCUCUGCCUGCCCAAGUAGGAAAUCAGUGAAGAAAGGGCAUCAGAGGGGUUCUGGGGUGGGAGGCAAAAAGUGGGGGUCACAAACCUCCCUGUCCAUCCAGGCCUGGAGUUGUAGGGGCUGAGCUGACAGAAGGAAGCGGCGGAUGGUCUGGGCUGAGGGGCCAGGGCCUGCCUCCGGUGGUGCAAAUUGUACUUUCCGGACAACCAGCCGCACAUAGUCUCUGAGCAGAGACCAAGAGAUUAGCCAGAGCGUCCUCCUUUCAGACCCACAGACCUCUCCCAUGCCACCCCCAUAGUCCAAUUGUUGCUUAAGAAUGGGAGCAGGGGAAGGCCUCCCUCAGAGAACUCCUCUAGUCCCUUAAUGUAAGCAUGUAGACCAAAGGUUAUUAAACUAUGGCCCACUGGCCAAAUCUGGCCUGAUGCCUGUUUUCCUAUGGCCCACAAGCUGAGAAUGGUUAUAUUACAUUUGUAAAUGGUUGAAAUAAAUCAAAGAACAAUGCUAUUUUGUGACAUGUGGACAUUACAUGAAAUUCAAAUUUCAGUGUCCAUAAGUAAAGUUCUAUUGGACACACAGCCACACUCAUUCAUUUCUAUACUAUCUGUGGCUGCGAUUGCACUACAACGGCAGAGUUGAGUAGUUGCAACGGAGACUAUAGGGCUCAAAAAGCCAAAUAUUUCUUUUUUUGGCCCAUUACAGAAAAGUUUGCUGACCCCUGCCCUAGAUCAAAGAAGGUAAGUCAGAGGGGACUCAGAACCGGGUGUCACUGGUGGCGAUGAGGCUGUGGAGGUUAGAAGUGGGGCUAUUUCUGUCAUGAGAGCAGGAUCUGUUUCCUGGCAGAGGCUGGAGGCAGGGAUUUUUGGGGACAACCAAAGAAUACCUCUUGGAGACUGUCUCCUCUGGGUUUUCAGCACAGAAACUCUUCACUUCAAAGUCAAUCCCACAGGGCUGUAAAGGGACAAGGGCAAAGAGAGCUCAUUUCCAGUGCUGUCCUCCCUUCCUCAUGGGCCUAUAAGAAAAUGCCUGACCUCUUUCCUUAGCUGUCCAUUUCUCCAGUCUUGACUGUCCCACUGUUCCUCUUCCCUGGCACUACCUAUCCCUCUUUCUUAGAACCCAGUCCUCACCUUUCCUGCAUCUUCAGGACCUGGCUGCAGUGUCACAGAACAGGGCAGGUUGGUCACCAUCUAGGGGACAAAAAGGAGAUCAGAAAAGAAGUAGAAAAGAAUACAAACAAAUACAAAAGAAAUGGGGAACCCUCUCCCUUGUUGUCCUUCUUGAGCUUCCUCUCUUAAUCUUCCCUGGAGACCUUGCCUGCCCAGGGCUUGGGGUCAGUACCUGCAGGGUAAAGGGGUAGGCAUUGUCCCCUAGCUUGUGCAGUAGUCGCUCCUGUAGGACUGUGAGGGGCCCCUGAGGGCUGCUGGAUUCAGCUGGGACCACUUGCAGGGUCUGCACAUACAGAUCUUUUCGGAACGUCAGACCAAUCACUUCCAAGUCAUCACGGCCAUAGCGAAAGGCACAUGUCAACAUGACAAACACUGCAGGCAUAGGAGGAAGAGAGUGGUCUGUCAGGCCUGAGUGGGAAGGGGAAUCUUAACUGGGUCAAGAAGACACAGAGAGGUGAUGUAAUAUGAUCGAAGGCUGGCUGGGCGCGGUGGCUCACGCCUGUAAUCCCAGCACUUUGGGAGGCCGAGGUGGGUGGAUCACGAGGUCAGGAGAUAGAAACCACCCUGGCUAACACAGUGAAACCCCAUCUCUACUAAAAAAAAAAUACAAAGUAUUAGCCUGGCUUGGUGGUAGUGGGCGCCUGUAGUCCCAGCUACUUGGGAGGCUGAGGCAGGAGAAUGGCGUGAACCCAGGAGGCAGAGCUUGCAGUGAGCCGAGAUCGUGUCACUGCCCUCCAGCCUGGGCAACAGAGCAAGACUCUGUCUCAAAAAAAAAAAAAAAAAAAAAAAAAAAAGAUUGAAGGCUAUGGGCACAAAUGAAAAGAUUCUUAAUACAUUUGACUGCAGUAAAAUUUAUGUUAAAAGUCUUUAUAAAGUCUUCUUUAUAUUCAAAGUCUUUAUAAACAAAGAAAAAAAUGGAAAGCCUGGGAGAAAAUCUUUGCAACACAUAUAACACACUGAAGUUUAGAGUCCAAAAUAUAUAAGGACUCCCACACAUCAACAAUAAUGCCAGUAUAAAACUGUGCAAAGAAUGUGAAUAGGCCCUUGCAGAAGUGUGCAAAGUGUGUGAAGGAAUGGCCAAUAACAUAUGAAAACAUGUUUAGUCUCGUGAGUAAUCAGAUAAAUGCAAAUUAAAACCACAACGAGAUAAGAUUUCACACCCAUGAGAUUGUCAAAAAAUUUUAAAUGUGACAACACUACGUGUUGAUGAAGAUGUGGAGCAAAAGGAGUUCUUACAUACUGCUGGUGGGAGUAUUAAUGCAACCAAUUUGGAAGACUAUUUGGGAUUAUCCAGUAAAAUUAAAUCUGCUCGUAGAGUAUGAGCUAAUAAGUUGACUUUAAAGGAGCUUUUGUUCAGGAGAGAUACAUAUGAUAAUGGCCGUCGCAUCAACGUUUGUCAGAACAUAAAACUGGAGAUAAUCUAAAAAUCUAUCAACAGGAGAAUGGAUAAAAAAUUUGUGGUAUAUUCACAUAAUGGAAUACUAAACCAAGGUUAAAAUAAAUGAGCUAGAACUUCAAAGAAUGCCCUAUGGUUUGUAUGUGGCCUCUCCAUAACUCAGGAGUUGAAACUUGAUGGUCAUUGUGAUGGUAUUAAGAUGGCCAUUAAGAGGUGAUUAGAUCAUGGGGCUUCUUUGUUCAUGAAUUCCUUUAUGAAUGGGAUUAAGACCCUUAUAAAGGAGACCUUUUGCCCUUCCACCUUCCACCAUGUGAGGACACAAUGUUUCUCCCCUCUGGAGGAUGCAGCAAUAAGGCACCAUCUUGGAAGCAGAGAGCAGCCGUCAUCAGACAACAGAACCUGCUAGAGCCUUGAUCUUAGACUUCCCAGCUUUCAGAAUUGUGAGAAAAUAAAUAUCUGUUCUUUAUAAAUUACCUAGUCUCAGGUAUUUUGCUGUGGCAGCACAAACAGACUAAGACCUGUGCCAACAAGGUUAAAUCUCAAAAGCUAUUGAACAAGGCUGGGCGUGGUAGCUCACGCCUGUAAUCCCAGCUCUUUGGGAGGCCUAGGUGGACAGAUCGCUUGAGGACAGGAGUUCGAGACCAGCCUGGCCAACAUGGUGAUAACCCGUCUCUACUAAAAUACAAAAAUUAGCUGGGCAUGGUGGCAUACACCUGUAAUUCCAGCUACUCAGGAGGCUGAGGCAGGAGAAUCGCUUGAACUCGGGAGGCGGAGGUUGCAGUGAGCUGAGAUUGCACCACUGCCCUCCAGUGGGGGUGACAGAGUGAGUCUCUGUCUCAGAAAAAAAAAAAAAAAAAAGCUACUGAACAAAAAAUCUAGCUGCAGAAUGAUAGGUACAGUAUGUUACCGGUUAUAUAAAGUUUAAAAGCAUG